UAUUUCUUAUCAGCGACAGCUGCUUGAAGAUCUCGGACAAGUAUCUCCUGGCCAUGGUCCUCACCUACUUCAGAAGAGCAGGACUGCCUACUGAAGAAUAUAGAAAAUAUUUCUUUCCAUCUCUGUUUUUGGCCAACCAAUUUGAAGAGGACGAGCCAUUUCGAGAGGAGAUCUACCCCUGGGCCUUCGGAUGGACGUGGACCAUACAGCGGGAGCAGCUUC